UACGUAGGCAGCGAGCGUUGUUCGGAGUUACUGGGCGUAAAGAGUGCGUAGGCGGUUUUCUAAGUUUGGUGUGAAAUCUCGCGGCUUAACUGGGAGGGUGCGUCGGAAACUGGAAGGCUUGAGUAUGGGAGAGGUAAGCGGAAUUCCUGGUGUAGCGGUGAAAUGCGUAGAUAUCGUCAAGAACACCGAUAGUGAAGACAGCUAACUAAGCUGUAACUGACGCUGAGGCACGAAAGUGUGGGGAGCAAACAGG
rnacentral:rRNA from 1 species